GGCAUUACACAAGUACAAGAUACAAGAUUUACCAUACAGGAUACAACCACACAUAUGCACAUACACAAUAUCAUACACCAUUCACAAUCACAUCCAAAACUAGAGUUCUUUAUAAAUCCACAAAUAUUAGUUUAAAAUAUUUCCUAUUCGGAAACUCGUUUUGAAACACUAAAUCACGAAAUCCGAAAAAAUCGUUUCCCACACGGAAGCCUUUUUUUUUUAAACCACGCUACCACGAGAGGUAGAAAACUAUUUUCAUUUCACAAGAUUCCACAAAUUCUUUAUUACAUUCACGAAAACCCAAAUAUUCAUUUCAUAUAAAAGUACUGAACCAUAAACGUUGUCUAAGUUAUUUAU
rnacentral:lncRNA from 1 species